rnacentral:misc_RNA from 1 species
GUUUUAGUUGUACAUUAUGCACAAUAGACAUUCCAUUACAUGCAGAGUGUGUAAAAGUUACUCGAGCACCAAGGCGAGGCCGGCGAUACUCAGAGUCAUAGAUGCACAGGUGUGUGGAUUUGCGACCCGUCGACGUGCACAUAUGGGAUCUCUCCCACCAGCACAGAACGACGAGCCGACUUUUGAAGUUUCAUUAAUGAUCCUUCCGCAGGUUCACCUACGGAAA